UACUCCCCAGGCGGGGUACUUAUUGCGUUAACUCCGGCACAGAAGGGGUCGAUACCUCCUACACCUAGUACCCAUCGUUUACGGCCAGGAUUACCGGGGUAUCUAAUCCCGUUCACUCCCCUGGCUUUCGCGCCUCAGCGUCAGACACAGUCCAGAAAGUCGCCUUCGCCACUGGUGUUCCUCCUAAUAUCUACGCAUUUCACCGCUACACUAGGAAUUCCACUUUCCUCUCCUGCACUCAAGAAAUGUAGUUUCCAUCCCAUCACGGGGUUGAGCCCCGAACUUUUAAGACAGACUUACAUUCCCGCCUGCGCGCGCUUUACGCCCAAUAAUUCCGGACAACGCUUGCCACCUACGUAUUACCGCGGCUGCUGGCACGUAGUUAGCCGUGGCUUCCUCCUCAGGUACCGUCAUUACUUAACAUUAUUCACAUUAAGCACAUUCGUCCCUGAAGACAGAGCUUUACGAUCCGAAAACCUUCUUCACUCACGCGGCGUUGCUCCGUCAGACUUUCGUC
rnacentral:rRNA from 1 species